rnacentral:rRNA from 1 species
GCAGUCGCCGCGGUAAUACGAAGGGGGCUAGCGUUGUUCUGAAUUACUGGGCGUAAAGCGCACGUAGGCGGAUUCUUAAGUCAGAGGUGAAAUCCCAAGGCUCAACCUUGGAACUGCCUUUGAUACUGGGGAUCUCGAGUCCGGGAGAGGUGAGUGGAACUGCGAGUGUAGAGGUGAAAUUCGUAGAUAUUCGCAAGAACACCAGUGGCGAAGGCGGCUCACUGGCCCGGUACUGACGCUGAGGUGCGAAAGCGUGGGGAGCAAACGGGAUUAGAUACCCGGGUAGUCCCUGUCUCUUAUAC